GGGCCGGUGGCGCAAUUGGCAGCGCGCCGCAAUGGCAUUGCGGAGGUUGUGGGUUCGACCCCCAUCCGGUCCA
rnacentral:tRNA from 1 species